rnacentral:rRNA from 1 species
GACGAACGCUGGCGGCGUGCUUAACACAUGCAAGUCGAACGAAGUGGCGAACGGGUGAGUAACGCGUAAUCAACCUGCCCUUCAGAGGGGGACAACAGUUGGAAACGACUGCUAAUACCGCAUACUGAAGGUGGUGAUUGCGUCUGAUUCGGUAGUUGGAGGGGUAACGGCCCACCAAGGCGAUGAUCAGUAGCCGGGCUGAGAGGGUGGACGGCCACAAUGGGACUGAGACACGGCCCAGACUCCUACGGGGAGCAGCAGUGGGGAAUCUUCCGCAAUGGACGGAAGGCUGACGGAGCAACUGCGCGUGGGGGAUGACGGCCUUCGGGUUGUAAAGCUCUUUUAAGCGGGACGCGGUACCGGAAUAGAAAGCCACGGCUAACUACGUGCCAGCAGCCGCGGUAAUUC